rnacentral:rRNA from 1 species
GACGAACGCUGGCGGCGUGCCUAAUACAUGCAAGUAGAACGCUGAAGAGAGGAGCUUCCUCUUCUUGGAUGAGUUGCGAACGGGUGAGUAACGCGUAGGUAACCUGCCUUGUAGCGGGGGAUAACUAUUGGAAACGAUAGCUAAUACCGCAUAACAAUGGAUGACACAUGUCAUUUUUUUGAAAGGGGCAAUUGCUCCACUACAAGAGGGACCUACGUUGUAUUAGCUAUUAGGGGGGGUAAGGGCCCCCCAGGGGCAGGAACCAAACCCGCCCUGGAGGGGGGACGGCCACACUUGGAAUGGGACCACGCCCAGACUCCCUCGGGGGGCAGCAGUAGGGGAUCUUCGGCAAUGGGGGGAACCCCUAACGGGCAAAGCCGCGUGGGGGGAGAAGGUUUUCGGAUCGUAAAGCUCUGUUGUAAGUCAAGAACGGGUGUGAGAGUGGAAAGUUCACACUGUGACGGUAGCUUACCAGAAAGGGACGGCUAACUACGUG